UAAUGUGCAUUUAGUAUCCAUGUCAUGUUGCUAGAGUUAGCCACUAUAUUAUUGUAGGGAGGCAGCUAGCUUGUUAAUUCGUAUCAUAUAGCUCUACUCUCUAUAUAGAGUCUCUUAUAUAUAUAUAUAGCUGAACGUACCUAUACUAGAUAGAGCCAUGCUAAUUAUGAGCAAGCUAUUUAUAGUUAAUUGCUAGCUAGCUAUAUCGGCAAAAAAGAUUUGCAAGUUUUCUAUAUGAAGUAGGAAAAUCCGAUCAAGUAUGAUGCCAAUGUCAAUGGUAGUAUCAAUGCGUUGUUCAGCGCUACUCUUAGGAGUGUGCCUAAUCAUAAAUGUGUCUGGUCUGAGGAUCACCUUUACGUCAUCUCUGCAAUCAACAAACAGAAUCUACUCUUGUCCGGGGGAGAUUGUUACCUAUGUCUGCAGUGGAAAUGGAAGUGAAAUGGACCUAUAUGCCCCACCAUACGUUUCUUCGACCUUUCCUUUGUCGUAUGACAUUAACGACACUCCGGGGUUAAAACUUGGUGGCUCCGGCCCUAUUGUAACGAAUCUUUCUUCGAUUAGUCCUCUCAAAGCAAAUUUGGUAGUGCAAAAUUCAUCGUUGCCAGAGUUUUCUGUUCAUUGUAUUGUUCGUGCACCACAUUCAUCUUCAAAAAGAGAUGAAACCCGGUACAGGCCUUCAGGUUUUCCUUUAGAUGUGAUUUCUCUGAGGACAUUUCACGAAUUUAACACUGCUGGUGUUACCUGGAGGAAUAAUGAUGGAAAUUAUGAUCCUAGUCACUACACAGUCCAGUUAUUUGCAAAUAAUACUCUGACUGAAUCCACUGUUAUUUCUGCAGAAAGCAAUAGAUCAGUAGCAGAAUUUACUACGUCUUUCAGUGGCACUGUAGAUGUCUAUGCAAAGAUAACAGUGACGUCCAAGUGUAACCAGACAUCUAAUGGAGUUUUCACUGACACCUUUACGAUAACUAGUGCAAGUACAACAACGGAGUAUGUGUUCUGGUUACUCCUUUCAACUGCAACAUUCGUCCUAUACAGCAAUAGUAUAGUGUAGGUGUAUAUCUCUGCUUCAAAACUACAGCCUAUAUAUAUAGGUGUGCUCAGGAGUGCACUCCUGGUGUACUAUAAAUAUUUUUAUUUUCAUGUAGCAAUAUUUUUUCAUAGCUGAUUUACUGUGAUGUCUUCUCUAAUGUAUAGCUAUAAACAUUUACGACUCUUACAUUUCUUUAUUUUGUAGUACAAUCCUACACUCUAUGUUUUGUGCAUGUACACUAAUGCAGUGAGCGAGGAGAAAUUUUUUUCAACUGCA